AUCAUAUAACUAACUUCUAUAUAAUACCAAAAGUGACUGGAUAUGACACGGAAAGCCCCAAAGCAAAUUGGAGCUCACCAAAAGCAGCUGGAUAUCCUGGCUCCUACUUGUGCGGUGUAUGAGCUGAGGUACCUGUGCCUGCAGCAUGAAAUGCAGGUCCCCCGUGGGGGACGUCAGUACAAAAUAUGUACUGAGUAUGUAAAGCUGUAGAUA
rnacentral:lncRNA from 1 species